rnacentral:pre_miRNA from 10 species
AUAUAUAUAUACACACACGUAUGUGUGUAUAUAUAUAUACACACACGUAUGUGUGUAUAUAUAUAUAUAUA